rnacentral:piRNA from 1 species
UAGUCUAGGCAGAGAAAUGUUAUUAUAAA